rnacentral:ncRNA from 1 species
CCGCCACAACGGCUUCCUGGCGUGGCGGGGAUCAUUCAAUGGAGCA